UACGUAGGGUGCAAGCGUUGUCCGGAAUUAUUGGGCGUAAAGAGCUCGUAGGCGGUCUGUCGCGUCUGCUGUGAAAACCUAGGGCUUAACUCUGGGCGUGCAGUGGGUACGGGCAGGCUAGAGUGCGGUAGGGGAGAACGGAAUUCCCGGUGUAGCGGUGAAAUGCGCAGAUAUCGGGAGGAACACCGGUGGCGAAGGCGGUUCUCUGGGCCUGCUGACGCUGAGGAGCGAAAGCGUGGGGAGCGAACCGG
rnacentral:rRNA from 1 species